rnacentral:rRNA from 1 species
GACGAAGGAUGCAAGCGUUAUCCGGAUUUACUGGGUUUAAAGGGUGCGCAGGCGGAUAUGUAAGUCAGUGGUGAAAUCUCUAGGCUUAACCUGGAAAUUGCCGUUGAUACUAUAUAUCUUGAAUGCUGUGGAGGUAAGCGGAAUAUGUCAUGUAGCGGUGAAAUGCUUAGAUAUGACAUAGAACACCUAUUGCGAAGGCAGCUUACUACGCAGAUAUUGACGCUCAUGCACGAAAGCGUGGGGAUCAAACAGG